rnacentral:rRNA from 1 species
UACGUAGGGUGCAAGCGUUGUCCGGAAUUAUUGGGCGUAAAUAGCUCGUAGGCGGUUUGUCGCGUCUGCUGUGAAAACUCGGGGCUUAACUCCGGGCCUGCAGUGGGUACGGGCAGACUAGAGUGCGGUAGGGGAGACUGGAAUUCCUGGUGUAGCGGUGAAAUGCGCAGAUAUCAGGAGGAACACCGGUGGCGAAGGCGGGUCUCUGGGCCGUAACUGACGCUGAGGAGCGAAAGCGUGGGGAGCGAACAGG